rnacentral:rRNA from 1 species
UAGCGCAAGGGUGCGUAACACGUGGGUAAUUUGCCAUGAAGUUAGGAAUAACUCGCUGAAAGGCGAGACAAUACCGGAUGUGACUGUGAUGCGGCAUCGCGAUACAGUUAAAGUUGGGGACCGCAAGGCCUGACGCUUCAUGAUAAGCCCGCGGCCUAUCAGCUAGUUGGUGAGGUAACGGCCCACCAAGGCUAAGACGGGUAGCUGGUCUGAGAGGACGACCAGCCACACUGGAACUGAGACACGGUCCAGACACCUACGGGUGGCAGCAGUCGAGAAUUUUUCUCAAUGGGUGAAAGCUUGAAGGAGCGACGCCGCGUGGGGGAUGAAGGGCUUCGGCUCGUAAACCCCUGUCAUUUGCGAGCAAACCUUUCUGCUGAAUAGGCAGGAAGCUGAUAGUAGCGAAAGAGGAAGGGACGGCUAACUCUGUGCCAGCAGCCGCGGUAAUACAGAGGUCCCAAGCGUUGUUCGGAUUUACUGGGCGUAAAGGGUGCGUAGGCGGCGGGGCAAGUUUGAUGUGAAAUCUCCGAGCUUAACUCGGAAACUGCAUUGAAUACUGCCUUGCUAGAGGGUCGAAGGGGAGACUGGAAUUCUCGGUGUAGCGGUGAAAUGCGUAGAUAUCGAGAGGAACGCCAGUGGCGAAAGCGAGUCUCUGGACGACCCCUGACGCUGAGGCACGAAAGCUAGGGGAGCAAACAGGAUUAGAUACCCUGGUAGUCCUAGCCGUAAACGGUGCACAUUUGCCGUGAAAGGAAUCGACCCCUUUCGUGGCGAAGCUACGCGUUAAAUGUGCCGCCUGGGAAGUACGGUCGCAAGAUUAAACUCAAGAAAUUGACGGGGCCUGCACAGCGGUGGAGUAUGUGGCUUAAUUCG